UACGGAGGGUGCGAGCGUUGUCCGGAAUCACUGGGCGUAAAGGGCGCGUAGGCGGCCUGAUAAGUCGGGGGUGAAAUCCUGCGGCUUAACCGCAGGGCUGCCUUCUAAACUGUCGGGCUAGAGCACGGUAGAGGCAGAUGGAAUUCCCGGUGUAGCGGUGGAAUGCGUAGAGAUCGGGAAGAACAUCAGUGGCGAAGGCGGUCUGCUGGGCCGUUGCUGACGCUGAGGCGCGACAGCGUGGGGAGCGAACAGG
rnacentral:rRNA from 1 species